UACGGAGGGGCUAGCGUUGUUCGGAAUUACUGGGCGUAAAGAGCACGUAGGCGGCUUUGUAAGUUAGAGGUGAAAGCCCAGGGCUUAACCCUGGAAUUGCCUUUAAGACUGCAUCGCUAGAAUUGUGGAGAGGUGAGUGGAAUUCCGAGUGUAGAGGUGAAAUUCGUAGAUAUUCGGAAAGAACACCAGUGGCGAAGGCGACUCACUGGACACAUAUUGACGCUGAGGUGCGAAAGCGUGGGGAGCAAACAGG
rnacentral:rRNA from 1 species